CCUUCUUCCUGUCAGCAGGAGAGAAGACCUGAGCUUUGUGGAGCCACCUUACAGCUCCUGAGUUUGUAACUGAUACACUGGAAGAACCUUGAGGUGGAGGGAAGUUGAGUGCUGAUGGCAUUGGUUGAGCCCUGAAUCCAGAAAUACCUGAAGUUAAUUUUACUCCUGGGUUUUCUGAGAGCCAGCAAAUUCCCCCUUGUGCUCAUUGGAACUGCACUGCUGUGCCUCCUGGGGUGGGAGAGAUGAGGUGGCGCUGCACCAGCGUUCUGCCUCGGGACGAGCUGGGGAAAGAAGGCCACCCCAACCGCCUAGACCACUUCCUGGAGCUGAGAUCACGGGAUCCAGUCCUCGGCUGUUUGAUUGUGGCGGUCGAGAACCUCACCCUCAAAAAACAGAACCCAGGAGCCCACACAAAGAGGCACUUAGUAAAGUGUACUUGACGAGGAUGAUUCUAAUCAUUGUUCCUAGAGGGUCUAUUAGACACAACUCCACCAAAAAUCCAGACAGUGUCUUGAAAAGCCAGUAAAGAAGGAUGCAGAUACCAAAGAGACUAAGCAUGUUUUAUGUCAAGAGAAGGACCAUUUACCUAAUAUGUCUGUUUAAAUUGUGUGCCAGAAGAUUCUUCUCUCUCUUCAGUGGUUGCAGGCUCAUAAGGAAGACAAGAGCUAUUUUAGAGAAAUGAAAAUGCUGCAUCUUCUUUGCACAUUUGUGAGGAGGGUGAAAAAAAUCUGCAACCCUUCACACAUAUGAGUGUUGCCGGCUUUUCCCGUCCUCCUCCCCGUUGCUAAAUUUGGUACGGCUUGGCUGCUCAGUUCCUCCCAUCCACCCACACCCAACUGUGGAGGAGAGCUCGGAGGGUCCACACCAGAUCUUUGGGACUUUCACUGCAGAACCAGGGGGAUGGAAGGGAGAAUAGAAGUGGUAUAAGCCACACGUGUAGAUUGCAAGGAGGAAAAAUAAAAGGCAAACUCCUCUUGCAAGAGGCCAUGGAGAGUGGGGGAGCGUGGAUGUGUUAGGAUGCAUCGUGCAGGAGAGGGAGAUGGAGAGAGAGAAGGGGAGGGUGGGAGAGCGCACUAUUUGGGAGAAAAAGGGUGAGGAAUGGAAUGGUUGGAUAUUAGAGAAGAGUAAAAGGGUUUCGGUAAGAGCUGCUUUGGACUGCAUCCUUUUUCAUAUUCCUGCAUCUUUUUCAUAUUCCUUGAGAUUAAAAGCAGAAUUCCUCUCAGGGUUUGCUCUAUUUGAGCCCCAUCCACAUGGUGGGCAGUUUUGACAAGCUUACAGACAUGUGAGCCUGCCAUCGGACAGCAGUGUAGUCGUACAGAGCAGGGGUUCUCACCUGGGCAGAUGGUGCCGCCCAGAUGCCAUUCAGCAAAGUCUGGAAACAUCUUUGAUGAUCACAACUGGAUAUGCAGUUGGCCAGACAUGAUGCCAAACAUCCUACAAUGCACAGGACAGUCCCCGAUGGUGAAGAAUGGUCCCAGCCAAAAUGUCAACAGUACCACAGGUGAGAAAACCUGAUGCAGAAAGAUAGAGGAAAUGGCAGUUUUUUCCCAACAUCUUCUCUUCACAGAUACGAAUUCUUUUUGCCAUUUUAAACCUUUUUUUUAAGUUUGUGAUAUUAAUUCUUGAACAGCACAGAAUACAUACAGUAAUAUUAACCAAGUCAUAGAUUUGGGGUUCCAAAAAACCUGUAAGUUAAGAGAAUUCCUAUUGAAGAACUCCAGACCCCAUGGAAAAAUAAAGUUGAGUAUUUGGAGGUUUCUACAAAAUUCAUGAAAAGCCUUAAUACAUAUUUUAAUUCUCAACAUAAAAUACAUAAAAUUAGGGGCACCUGGGUGGUUCAGUCAGUUAAUUGGCU